GAUGAACGCUGGCGGCGUGCCUAAUACAUGCGAGUCGAGCGAACGGACGAGAAGCUUGCUUCUCUGAUGUUAGCGGCGGACGGGUGAGUAACACGUGGAUAACCUACCUAUAAGACUGGGAUAACUUCGGGAAACCGGAGCUAAUACCGGAUAAUAUUUUGAACCGCAUGGUUCAAAAGUGAAAGACGGUCUUGCUGUCACUUAUAGAUGGAUCCGCGCUGCAUUAGCUAGUUGGUAAGGUAACGGCUUACCAAGGCAACGAUGCAUAGCCGACCUGAGAGGGUGAUCGGCCACACUGGAACUGAGACACGGUCCAGACUCCUAGGGGAGGCAGCAGUAGGGAAUCUUCCGCAAUGGGCGAAAGCCUGACGGAGCAACGCCGCGUGAGUGAUGAAGGUCUUCGGAUCGUAAAACUCUGUUAUUAGGGAAGAACAUAUGUGUAAGUAACUGUGCACAUCUUGACGGUACCUAAUCAGAAAGCCACGGCUAACUACGU
rnacentral:rRNA from 1 species